rnacentral:lncRNA from 1 species
GUGCAUUUGCUUUUCUUUUUAAACAUUAUUAUGAGAGCCACUCAGUUCUCUCUUGGCCCACUAUACUUGUGUUCGGGACUGCAGUGUUGGUGUUUCAUAGGAAGGUGCUAAACGUAGCAGUUCGCAUCAUAUGAAUGACGAAGAAAGAGAUUACGAUAGUGACGACAGCUUAAAAUCCCUUCUGGAGGGCCUCCGACUUACCGACAUUGACAGACGGCCGACUCAGAAAACACCAAAAACCAUGGACCCGCAAUACUAGGGGCCAUACAGACCGCACUGAACCCAGGAGGCCAAAUUCCAGCAAAUGCAAACCACUAUUGAUCAAUUACGAGCGGCCGUGCCCGUAACCGCUCCAGAGGUAGAGGUGUUUUAAAAAAUAUCUAUCAGGCCUGGGGUCGAGUGCGAUCAUUCACUUGACAUGGUAAAAUCCCUCCCGGACUUCUACGGGAAACAAGGGCACUAUGUCUCUUGGCGCCAAGUUGCGCUGGCGGCCUACGAAUUUUUCGAGCCUUAUGAGGGCAGCGCUAACAUUACAUGGCAACAGUUAUCAUAAGAAAUAACGUCAGAG